UUAUUUAAACAGUUGGUUAUUUAAAAGAGGGGAAAAGGAAGGUUUGGAUUUAUGAAAAAGAACUCAAACAGUUUCAUAAAUUUUGGAAGAUAUCUGUUUGGAAUUACAAUCGUGUUUCAUAAAGGAACAACUUCAAAAGAAACACUUUCCAAGGGUAAAUAAGUAUGAGCAAGAGAGUUGGUAAAUACCCCAGUGUGACUGCGGCAAGCUUGAUAGCUCGGCU